UUUAAAUUUCUUUACACAGUAAUGUUUUAUUAUUAUAACUCUCUAAAAUAUUUCCCAAGAGAAUUAUAAGAGAUAAAAACAUGAUCAAAAAAUUCUUAGAUGUGAAUAACCCGGAAAACCUAAACUAUAGUUUUAGUUUAAAAAGCGGUUGUAUUUUCUUUGCGUUAUGUGGCGGUGUGAGUAUAUUAAUAUUAGUUCCAUUUAUUUUAAAAUUAAAGAAACAAGAUGAAAUGAAAUAUGUAACUCUAACCGCCCGUGGCGUGAAAAAAGAACACUCCUCCCGCAAAAGUCUAAAGGAUUUUUCUAGAUGGACCGGUAACCUUAUCUACUACUAUGGUGUUCAGAUAUAUUAUUCGACAAAAGAUAUAAAGUCAUCGUGCUGGUGAACGAAGCUAGGUACAAAGUGCUGUAUGGUACCGUGCUUGUUUUGUAUGUCACAUGUAUUCUGGUUUUUAUUAUACGGAUUAGCAUGUAA
rnacentral:lncRNA from 1 species